rnacentral:lncRNA from 1 species
CCAGUUUCCUUUGCCGUCGCCGGAGCACCAACCAACCAUCCACCAAGAACCAACUUCCCUUGUAGAUGUUGAAGAUCCAACAAGGCAACAACCCAGAAAUGAAAAGAAGAAGGCUCCAUCUACCUGCAACAAGAACCAUAAAUAUCCAAAUCGCAACCACAAAGGAAAGGAAGCCAGUGGGAAAUUCCACAAGCGGCAGUGCCGAGAAUUGCAGACAACUGGAUAAUGGUGGUGUAAACACUCCAGCCGGAGCUCUAUCCACCAUCCGAUAAACCCACAAACGCGAAGAAGGGAAGCAUUUACAAAUAUGAAAUUUUUUGGGAGUGAAGAAGACUGAGCCAAUUGGUAUAGGUAGAAGAUGGAUUGAUUAGAACUAUGGAGGUUAAAAAACAGUAGGAAGAAGAUGACGGGGAAGGUCUGAAUUUUGACAAAGUUAUUUACUAAUUAAUUACUUGAUAAUACUUGAAUUCUCCCUGCAGACAACACUUUAUCGUAGUAACAAAAAAUAAUUAGAUUUAUGCGACUUGAUACGGGUUCGAUUUUCACUCAUAGUACUCCUUCCCCUUCUAUAAGAACUAAUUAAUUAACCUAUUAACGUUAUCACUCUACUAAAAAUCACUUGUAUCCUCUCUUUGGAUGUACUCAUUUCCAAAGAGGAAAUACAAGUAUUAUUCUAUUAUAAUAGUAGGAUUUGUUAGACAUAAUUGUUUAACCCCCCCUAAGCAGGCUAUACAAGAUAAUACAUUUUCUAGUUCAUCAACUAUAAGGUAAUAACAAAUACAACUGAAUAUCCAGGUGCCAUUAGCACAUUGGUUUAUGUUACAUAAGUUUGCCAUGUUGUAAUAAGUUGGAUUGAAUAAGAUUGGAUUGCAUUGCCACAUAGGCUUGGUAAUUAUCACUGUACUAGUAUACAUACACUUUUGUACUGCCUUCGUUCAUUAAUUGGAAACUUUAGUGAUUCCUGAGUCUCUCUUACUUUCUUCUUUUGCUAUUCAUCUUUUUCUACAGAAUUACAGAUUUAUAACUCUAAUUCAGUACUGUUAGGAUAAGGAGUGCUAAUUCAUUUGACUAAAAUACGUGUUGGUUAUUUCUAACUCCUAGUAAUCAUUAUUUCAGUGAAAUUAAUGAGGUAGCACCAGCAACAUCAAUUUCCAACCCUUGUCACUUGUUAUAUAUACAUUUUGCCAGAACAACUCUGUAUGUAAAUGAAUAUUCUUUUUAGAACCUCAGUAGUACGAGUAAAUUUUAUUAAUAAUAUAUUAACAACACUUACUAAUACUAACAUAUCGAUACACACCAGUUUUGUUUUAAUUAGCAAAGUCUAGCGAUUUGAAUCUUCAAGUGCAUGCACAAGAGAAAAAAAUGGACAACUUCCAUAUUUGAUAAGAUGAGUAAUUUAGAUGGUAAUAAAUCAACACACAAAUUAUAUCCUCGUUGAUCAUGAGAAGAAACUAGUUGAAUCUAAGGAAUUUGGUAGAGGGGGACUUGUUUGACUGCAAAGUCGAUUAAAAUUUUUUUGUUCACCAAUGAAAUUGGAAGGGAAAGGCAUACAAAUAAUCCAAGGCAAAGAGAGAAAACAAAGGGCUAAUGUUAAUGUUGAUCACAUGAUAAAUUAGUUAUCAUAUUAAUUUUAUAUACAUUACAGAAAAUUCAGAGAUCUAAAAUUAACGAUCAAUUUGUUGCGAAAAAUUACAAAUCCCUUCAGGCUACAGUCUACAAGUUGUUCAACCAUGGCCAACGAUUUCUUGCUUAUCAAAAUUGAAAGAGUGGUUGAAUGGAUGAUCAAUUGGGACCCCAGCAGCUGAGGUACAUGACUUUCCUGAGAGACUCCUCAGACUGCUUUAUCUUCUCAUCUUGUCUAACUUGAAUUGAGAUCAAAGCAGAAGAUGGGGAAGAGAACUUGUUGGCCUGAGAAAACGACCCAAGUUGGUUCUUGGCAUGCUGCUGCAGUAAUCUCAUAGUAUAAUUCCACCUGCAGAUCCCCUGGUCUUUCAAGGCCUCCACAACUCCAACACUUGCUGCCACUACCCAACCUCUCCUUGCUGCUGCUGAUGAAAUAGUCAUAUUUUCUAUCUGUAUAUAUUUUUUAACAAAUAACUCUUGAUGGAAAUUGCAAGUGAAGAAAACUGAUGUUUGUUUGAUGUGUUUGAAUUUUGAUUUGGUGAAGAAAAUGGUGAGUGGGUGUUGCUUUUAUAUGGAGUAACACUUCAACUAAAUUCAUGAAUGUAGGAGGAAAGUGGAAGCCCAUAUAAUGUGGGAAAAACCAUGGGAAGCCAAUGGUUUACUUAGCUGGUCAGACUCACUCAUUGACAGAGGAGACAAACUUAGGUUGGGUAGGACCAAGCAAAGGCACACGGUUUUCCUUUAAAAAAAUCCAUUUAAGCCUCAAGUAUGGGAGGAGAUACCACUUGUUUUACUUUAUGGAGCUAAAACAGGGACUCGGUUUUUUUUUUUUUUUUUUUUUUUUAAAUAAGAAUUAGAGAUGUCAUUGUUAAAAGAAGUUGAGAUUUAUAUCAUAAAACUAAUUGGUAUUCUAACUCGAUUUUUCAUAAGUACAUGCAGGGUUUAUUUUAUUUUAUUUUUAUGUGAGAUUCUUCCCCCCAACAAUUUUCCUAAAUUAGAGAAUGGUUAUUAGAAAAUAUUUAGGUUUGAGUCUCAUACUAAAUGCCUAAAAGGGAUAAAACCAUGAAACAAACUAGUAAAGUCAUCCAAUCUGAUACUAAAUGCCUAAAUUGCGUUGGACUGGAUUCUCACUAGUAAAGUCAUCCAAUCUGAUUCAAUCAUGUUGGUUUGAAAUUUAGGGAUCCAAAACCAUUAAAAUCGGAUUGAACCAGAUUGGAUCAGUCGGUUUGGGAGGUUUGAAAGGGAUCUUCAACACCCCUACAAUCGUGGCUAAUCUUCUGUCCUAGUUCAGACUAUGUUUCUAUUUCUGUUCUUUUGAUCUAAUGGAAAGUUUUUGCUCCCUUUUCUUUUGGUAUGGUUGGAUGUUGCUAAUUCUUCACUCUUUUGGUAUGGUUGAACGUCUUGCCAGCGACCACGGAGGCAGCCACACUGGAGCAAACGAGAUACAAACAAUUUUGUCUCAAAUUUGAAAAUCACCUAACUACGUUCAGCAACAUUUCAAGGAAAGUGAGAGUAUAAUAGGCGCUUUUGUCAAUCCAUCAUAGCACCAUUUUUUGUGGGGGCAAUAUUUAAACUUCAAUUUCCAUAAGAGCCCUUCUUCAAAUGUACCGUUGUGAAAAUAAAAAAAUUCAACUCAAUAGUGAUCAGCAAUUCUCAGAUUUAUAUGUUUGAUUUACAUGGCAAUUGUCAUAACAUAACAAAAUUUACAUCAAUUUGCCAGGACCUAGCAGACAUCAAUUGCCUGCCACUUACGAUCCCAAACGAUAGCCUUUGCUAAUAACUUAAGGACCCCUUCAUGGGGUGUUCCAUCAGCAAGCGCUUACACAAAAACAUGCAAUCUUAAUUUGCUCUUGUUUCUGUGAAUGAAUAAUUGAUUAGUUGUUGGGACCCCAGCAGCUGAGGUACAUGACUGUCCUCAAAGACUCCUCUGAUUUCUUCAUCUUCUCAUCUCUCACUUUACUCAGAACUGAAGCAGAAGGAGAAGAGAGCUUGCUGUUGGCCUGAGAAAAUGACCUCACUUGGCUCUUGGCUUGUUGGCCUACAUAUCUCAAAGCAGAGUUCCAUCUGCAAAUCCCUUGGUCCUUGAGUGCCUCCACAACUCCAACACUUGCUGCCACUAUAGCCUUGCUUGCACUUGAUGAACUCAUGAUUUCUUUUCUCUCCUUUGGGUAUUCUGAAUUCUUUUGGUAGUGAUUGUGAAUGUUUAAGUGUUUGAUGAAGGAUAUGAGCAUGAAGCGCUCUUUAUAUGGGAACUAGAAAGGGUGGGCCUUUCCACCAAUUACUAGAGGCGGUUUAGAGUGUAAAGCCAAUGGUAUAUAUAUUUCUUUUCUUGUCUUUUUGUCACACUCAUUACCACUAACUAUACAAAUGAGCACACGGUUUUCCUUAUCAAAUCCACCUAAGCCUCAGGUAUGGGAGGAAACACCACCUGCUUUUGUUUGUUACAGUGAAAAUGUGAAUGUAUAUACAGAUAAAAUGUCAAUAGCAUGUCAAUUAAAGUAACACGUAUUAAUACUAACAUAUCGAUACACACUAGGUUUUUUUUUUUUAACAAAUUCUAGCUACUUGAAUCUUUAAGUGCAUGAACCAGAGAAAAAAUGGAUAACUUCCAUAUUUGGAAAAUGAGUAAUUUUGAUGAUAAUAAAUCAACACAGUAAUUAUAUCCUCAUCCAUGAGAAGAAACUAGUUGAAUGUAAGGAAUUUGUAAGGGUGGGCCUUUCCACCAGUAACUAGAGGCGGUUUAGGGAGUGUAAAGCCAAUGGUAUAUAUUUCUUUUCUUCUCCUUCUGUCACACUCAUUGCCACUAACUAUACAAAUGAGCACACGGUUUUCCUUAUAAAAUCCAACUAAGCCUCAGGUAUGGGAGGAAACACCACUUGUUUUUGUUUGUUUUAGUGGGAAAUUGUCAAACUGUUUCCAAGACAAGAUAAUCUAUUCAGCUAAACAACUAUAUCCUUUUUUUUUUUUGGGAUAAAAAUUAAUUAACUCAGAUUUCAAAGAUUUUAGAUUUCAUUUUUCUAAAUAGUACUAUCCAUACAUCAUUUUUUACCUUAUACUCACUUUUAUUAGUUUUUGUUCAUUAAUCUUUUUCAUUCAUUCGAUCCAAUAGCUGGAAAUUAAGAGAGUGUAUGAGAGGUAAAAUUUGGUGUAUGGAUAGCACUACCCUUCUUAUAAAUAAAUAUCUAAGAAAAUUGCUACUAAAAAUUACUUAGAAAACAAACUUAUUGAGAGAAUAAAUCUUACAUCAAGUAAAAUAAGUCUUAUUUGAUAGUUUAAAUGAUUUUGGCAUCUCUCCCUUAUUGUGAGUUGUGUUCGGAUGGAUACUCACAUUCUAAUAUGAAAUCAAAGCAGGCUAUGCACUUGUUGAGUCAAGGGUCUACGUGCCCACACGUUAGCUAAUUAAUGUGGCCCACGUGCUAGACUUAAAAUGACCCCACACUUCUUUGUCAAUAAUUGCGAUAUCAUCAAAAAGUGGUGUAGUCUUUUUCGCGUGAUGCCUUUAUAGUAUUUCUCCGGCUGGAUUUGGAUUCUCCGGGUGGUGUAGUCUUUUUGAUGAGUUUGCAAUUGCAGUAUUUCUUAUAGCAUGAGUGGCCUCUCAUUCCUGAUCGAGAAAUUUCUCAUGUGGUUCUUCUUAAGCAAGGCUUCUUGUUGAGGAAUAAAUGUUAUUAUUCACUUUAUGAUGAUACCUGCCUUCACUUCUUCGAUUUUCAAGUGGUUCGCCUUUUGAUUUCAAGUGAUUUUACCCUGAAAUAAUUCUAGCCUUUCUUAAAUUACUUUCAAGCAUGUCCAGUCAGUCCAGUCAUUUAGCUACAAGCUUCAUACUUAAAUACUCCUGACUGCUCAAAUAGUCUUAAACAAUUUUAACUAUCUGAGUGGGCUUAAAUAUUCUUAACUACCUAAACAGGCUCCAAAUUACGUGUCCAAAUAGAAAUUACCUAACUACGUUGAUAAAUUUCAAUGGAAGAGAGUAUACUGUAUGCAUUUCUGUCGCUCCAUGUCAUAGUACCAACUUUGGUGGGAAAUUUUACACAAUGUCAAUGAUUUCCGGAGUUCUUGCAUUCUCUCAUCAUCGCCCAUAUAUUGCGUAUGCUUGCACAGGCCUAUAAAUUUUGAAUAAAAAACGUUUGAAUACUGGCAAAUUUAACGCCAUUAUAGGAUGAUAAAUGUUCCACUCAGGACAAAGUAACUAGUAGCUAAGUGUGUCCUCUGCGGAGUCCAGGGUGAAUCUACAAUUCACCUUAUCCGCGAUUGUGCAUUUGCUAAGUGUGUCUGGCUUGCUACUCCGAUUGGUAUCCCUCCUUCUCCGCCUUAUGUCCUCUCGAUGUUGGAUUGGAUUCUGAGUUGGACUUCUCACCUCAAUCCAUCGAACUUUGCUCUUGGUUUAAUGGUGCUUUGGGCAAUCUGGGGUGCACGAAAUAACCAUCUCUGGAAUGACUGUAUGGACUCUCCUGACAUCAUCGCUGCUUGGGGUCUCUCUUGGUGGCAAAAGUUCCAGAGAGUUGCUCCCCCCCCCCCUCCCUGAGACUCGCUACUCGUCACCAAGUCCCUCAUAGGUCGUCCCGCCCUCCUGCCCAUUUCCUUCAAGCUAGGGGGUUUUCAAAACAAUAUCCUCGAGAGUGAUUCAUUCCAGAUUGUGACGCAUCUACAUAAUUCUUCCAAUUAUUUUUCCGACAUUGGACUCUUCCAACUAUUUGUCCGACAUUGGACUCUUAAUUGAAGACUCGCGUGUGAUCCUGUCUUCAACCACUAGAGCUUAUGCUACCAUGUUCGUCGCCAAGUCAAUCGUAUUGCUCAUCGCCUUGCACGGUUUGCCUUUACUUCAAGUUCGUCAUGUAACUGGUUUGAGAAACCUCCGGACCUCAUCUCAAAUUUACUGUUUGACGAAGCUGUUUUGUAAUUGACGUAGGGCUUUGUAACUCUGUUUUUGAAAUGAAAUGAAUCUAUCGAGUACUUUUUCAGAAAAAGAAAAAAAAAAAACAACUACUGGCUAAAGAUGAAAAAAAGAAACGAGAUCAAGGUAGAAAUUCUCAGCAACAAUUUCUGUUCUAUAUGGUGAUUGUUACAACGAAACAAAAUUUACAUCAAUUAGCCCCAAGCAAACAUCAUCAUUUGCCGUAAUUUACAACCCUAAUCUUUGCUCUUGCUUUUGCGAAUGAAUCAUUCAAUUAAUUGUUGGGACCCCAGCAGCUCAAAAACAUGACUGUCCUCAAAGACUCCUCUGAUUUCUUGAGCUUCUCAUCUCUCACUUUACUCAGAGCUGAAGCAGAAGGAGAAGAGAGUUUGUUGUUAGCCUGAGAAAAUGAUCUCACUUGGCUCUUGGCUUGUUGGCCUGCAUAUCUCAAAGCAGAGUUCCAUCUGCAAAUCCCUUGGUCCUUGAGUGCCUCCACAACUCCAACACUUGCUGCCACUAUAGCCUUGCUUGCACUUGAACUCAUGAUUUCUUCUCUCUCCUUUCGAUAUUCUGAAUUCUUUUGGCAGU